rnacentral:sRNA from 1 species
AAUACAAAUACUUCAAUUUUAAAGUCAUCUCUUAUUUUACUUCUUUAUAUCUGCAAUAUCUUUGAUAUUGUUUCAAAGGCAGCGUCUGCGUCAUGUAGUUACUUACUUGUGCAUAUUUUACAUUUUUUUUUAGACUUCCAAGCUUUGGGUGUCAACGAAUGUUUGUAAACUGAAUUACUAAUGAUGAGAAGAAAAACACAUUACAAUUGGUUGGAGCUAAUGAUGAAAUAAGCGGACAUGUAUAUACCCAGCAUAAUUUUCGUACUUAUACUCUCUUAUAUUUCUAAACUCUUGAUUUGUUAGUUACUGUCUAUCGCAAUUGAUUCUUUGGGUAGAAAAGUUGUACCUUCUUUAUAUAUUUUUCUUAAUCUUUGUAUAUUCUUCAGUCAAUGAUAAUAAAUUUGUUGUAUAUUUAUGCUAUCUGCUUUAUUUUAAAAAUCUUAGUUAAGAGUUGUAGCAGAUAUAAUUUAAAACAAUGUUGUCCCUGCAUAGCAGGGCCAAAUGCUAGUCAGUUAGUAUAUUUCAAAAGUUAAUAUCAU